UUCUCUUCUUCCCUUCUAUCUGCAAACCCUAAUCACAAUACUAUCUCUGCUAUACACCUCGACAACGCAUAUAAUCGUUCUAUAAUUUUUUUCUUAAAAACUCGUGUUCCCCCUCUCACAUUUUCCUGCUGGUGCUGCCUUAUUUCCUCGUCCUCAAGCCCUAUCCACUCAUCAAUUCUUCUUCCGAUGAAUUUAUUUGCCACACCAGCAGCUCUCACAGCUACACCAUCAUCGAAUGAUCUCUAUCAACCAACAAAACCUUAAUGUUUAAGUCUGACUUCACCAGAACCAUUGGCCAUGUGCCUCAUCUUCAACGGAACCAUUAUCUACUCAUCGUCGCCCACUCUGUCUCCGACUUCACCACCAAGAACCUCCGUUUGUCACUGAAACAAUCUCCUUGAUUUGAGAGGAUUACUGCAUAAAUAACCACCACAGGAACCUCUUCACUUGUCACCGGAAUCCUACCAGCCACUGUUGUCCCUUCCUUCGACCAUAGUAAUUCCAUCACUAACCAAAAGCACCCUAUGUUGGGUACAAUUUAUUGAAUCUGAUAGGUCCUCAAGACAUGGAAUGUCUAAAAUUAGAGGAGAGUUUAUGGUUGGUGUUCUACAUCAUGUUCCUCCUAUUCUAGAUUUUACAGCUCCAAUCCCAAACAGGUAAUAAGUUUUAUAUUUUUACUAUUGUUGAUAAUAUGAAGAGUGUGUAAGAACAUUAGGGCCUCUGCAAAUAUUUCUGGAUUGUAAAUUGUAUUUUGUCUUGAAUCGAUGGUCUUCGCACACAUCUCUCUCUCCCUAAUCCUAUUGGAAUCUGGACAAGGCUCAUAAGACUGUGAGUAUAUUAUCUUGCUUUUCUUAUUCCUAGUUUUAUAAACCUUUUCCAUUUUCCAAAUAUUUCUGGUUUUUCAUUUUAUUUAUUUAUUUAUUUUCAUUUUUAGCAUUUGCAAGUUGUUGGGCUUAAUGGGUUAAGCACUUAACCUAGACAUGUAUUUAUGGUUGUUGUUUUUUCUUAAUCUGGACAUAAUGACUUAAUAGCUUAAGCUGGUUUAAUGUAUUAAUACACUAACUUGUUUUUUCCUCACAACUCCUAUCACAUUAAAAAUUGAUGAAUGUUGUGAAAUUUGAUUUUCUUUCUUUGAAUGUGAGGGUUAAAUGGUCAUUCAGUCUACAAAAGGAAUCACAGUUUGAUGUAUACAACACUUUAUCCAUAUAGAUGUUGUUAUCCAUUCAGCCAUUUUAACAAUACAGUUGUUGAUUCAACAUUGCUGGGAAGGAAAUUUUGGAGAAGGCAGAUCUUGAAGUGGCUUUGAAGGGUCUAAACGACAGGCUUAUGACCAAGAAUGUGGGUGAAGAGAUUGCUGAGAAAAUUUGCGAGUCUCUAGCGUAUAUGUGGUAAGGUUUGCACCAGGUACGAAUUUUAGUGAUGGCGGAUUCAACUUGCAGCGGACUUAUGACUUGGAAUCGAGCAAUAUUACUUCCAAAAAUAACAGUCCAAAUGGUCAGAUAUUAUCUAUACAACCUGAUUUUGUCCCAUUGAAUAUACUGAAUACAAUUCCAAAUUUUCAAAAAUUUUCAUGCAUGAAUGGUUUGUUGAAAAAUAUUUAAUAUAACAUAACGAUAUAAAUUUGAUAUUAUUUAAUCAUAACAUCACUAAUAAUGCAUAUCCAGAUACGAAACCACUAAUAAUGCAUCCAAGGAGUUUACCAACAGAUGGAAACAUGAUGUAGACGACACAAUCGUGGCGAAGGCCAGCUAGCUUGAAAACAUGAAAGUUCUCAAAUGGCCUAGGGAAGAAGUAGGAAUGUACUCGGGCUAUAAAGUCAGAUAGGCUCCCAAUUUCAGUUCAAUAAUUAAACACUGCCCAUAUAAGGUAUUCAGGUCAUUAACUUGAUAUCAUAUCAGGGAGUAUGUGUUCCUGGUUCAGGGGCUAGAGUAAUGACAGUUUUGGGUGGGCCCACAACUAAAGACACAUCGGAAAACAUAGGCGUGGUGUAGCCAGAGAACUAAUGUGGCCAGAAGCUUUACAAUUUGUCAACUUGAUGCAUCUAAGUAGAACUUCAUGAUUGCUGAUUUGUUAAGAGAAUGGUGGAUUUGGAACUAUUUACAAGGAUCAGUUAGAUUCAGAGAAGAUUGAUCAUAGGCGAGCAUACAACUGUGAGAUCAUGCUUUCAAAGGUGAAUAUACCUUUGCAUGAACUAAUGGUGAUGACCUUACAUGUGACAAUGCAAAUCUUGAAGGUGAAUCAGGGUUACGCUCUAAGCAAUUGAGAAAGCUACUUCUAUUCUCUAGGAAUGUUUAAUGAUCAAUUUCACCUGGUUGCCAAGGCUGCUAGGUGAAAUUGAUGUUAACUCUUUUUAUCUUGGAUUACUUGACUGGUAGUAUAGCAACCAAGUGUCUCAUUUUCAUUAAUUUGGCUAAAAAAUUAUUUUCAUUGCCUAUUAAGUCACUAAAUUAACAUUUUAUGUUAAAUAUGUCACCAUGCUUACAGUUUUUUCUGACUUUCAUUUUUUUAUAACAUAAUAAGACCUCACUCGCUGAUGUCAUCUUUUCUGACUUCCAUUUUUUUUAUAUAAUUUUUGUUUGGGUCAGGAGGCUGCUGAUUACAAAGCACCACAAUCUGAAAGAGGCAUGAAGUCACGUGCAAUUCUUGGUAGACAGGUCAAAGGAAUUGUCACAGAGCAGGGUUUUCUGCUCAUUUACAUUGCAAAUUUGCUGCUUUAGUUCAACAUCCAGA